CCUAAACUAAUCUUUAAAAUUUGUUUUUCUUUGGGCCGUUGGCCAAAUUCUUGUCUCCUUGUACCUGUCUUAAUAGCUAAUAGAUAAUAAUAAUAAUAAUUACAAUAAAAGGGCUUAGGCCCAAAAAUAGCAAAAUACAAUUUUAAAAUAAAGAGUGGACUCAAUUUCUCGACUCUCCAAUCUAUUGCAUAUUCUUCCGGAACCUGUUCGUCGGUUUUUUAUGGCUGGCUGACUCAGAAAGAGGAAAUUAAGUCUUUAUGGCUCUCUCGAAACACAAGAGGAGUAAAAUGAAUUCGUGGCGAAUGCGAACAUAUUUUACAUGCAUCAUAAAGAAGGAAAAAGCAAGGAUUAAAGUGCGAUCUAAUCGAAAUGAAUAAAUAAAGAAGUAUGCUGAAUUAUACAAGAAUGCAUAUAUUAAUUUCAAAGAAAUUAACAAGCAUGAGAGGAGAUAAUAGAAAUAUGUUGGAAAUUAGUGAAUCUUACAAGAUAUGACUGAGAAAAACCGUGACUAUUUCACACAAGCACAUUUAGUAUGACAGCUUGAUAGCACACCUGUAAUAGAGGCGAGAGGGAAUCCAACUAGCAUCAAAUAGCAGGAUAAUCGAAUGCAGACAAAUAGUAAAUGCGAAUUAUUAACUCCUAAGGAAAUCAAAUGCUAAAUUGACCACUUUUCAACCAAAG
rnacentral:lncRNA from 1 species